rnacentral:snRNA from 10 species
GAUUACCCCAAAUGUGGGUAACUCGGUCGUAUAUUUUCUGGUAGUGGGGACUGCGUUCGCGCUAUCCCCGU